rnacentral:rRNA from 1 species
GACGGAGGGUGCUAGCGUUGUUCGGAAUUACUGGGCGUAAAGGGCGCGUAGGCGGCGUGUCAAGUCAAUUGUGAAAUCUCCGGGCUUAACUCGGAACGGUCAAUUGAUACUGAUGUGCUAGAGUGCAGAAGGGGCAAUCGGAAUUCUUGGUGUAGCGGUGAAAUGCGUAGAUAUCAAGAGGAACACCUGAGGUGAAGACGGGUUGCUGGGCUGACACUGACGCUGAGGCGCGAAAGCUAGGGUAGCAAACGGG